UUCUUGAGACGGCUCCCUAGACAGAUUCUGGAGGACGGGUCAUCCGAAAGGGAAAGGACGCUUGUCUUUUUCCGUUCCUCAGAAGGAAACUUGACUUCCCUUUCCGAAGGGGAGGCAAAGGGGAAAGGAACCAUCUGACUCCCCUUUCUCUCAAUCAACCGAGAUUCCGUGUGGCAUGGCGAAGAACAACGGAAUCCUUUCUGGCGUUUUCUUGAACUCUUUGGAAAAGGAGUGCCAUAGAAGGUGAAAGCCCUGUAGAGGGAGGGCCAGAAAGAAAGACCAGAACAAGCUGAGGGUUGGCCUUGGCUGGAAACGCAAGCCCCACCUUGCGGGUCGAGAGGACAGAAUCUGAUCGAAAGUGCACAAGUACUGUGAAGGAACGGGAUGAAAAACCCUUUCGUUCCACGAAAGGAUGAAAAAGGAAAAUCUCCAUGUCAAGGCUUUGAGAGAGCAUGGCUCUCUGGGAGUCCCUUUUGCAUCAUGAGCCGAUGAGUAGUCCCUUUGCCCGUAGAGUGCGAUGGACAACCAGAACGCAGGGUAAAGGGGCUGACCCGAAAUCUGGUGAGCUAGCCUCCUCCAGGGGAACGAAGCCCGAACCGGUGCCUGUGGCAAUAGGCUCGGAGGAGGGGGGGCUAGAGGUGAAAUGCCAAUCGAACCAGGAGAUCGCUGGUUCUCGAAGAAACCUGUUUUGGCAGGGGGCUCGACCUAGGCUCUAUGGGGGGUAAGAGAGGCCUGAGUUCAGGAAGCUUUCUGAAGUCGCAUAGAGAGAUCGAGCACUCAGACUGAGGGCGUGAAGGUUCUCCAGUCGAAAGGGAAAAAGCCCAGCAACUCGGGAAAGGUCUUCAAGGAGAAUUGAUCGGAAAAAAACUUCCUUCUCGGCCUCCUCUUUAGGUAGGCUUAGAAGCAGCCAUCUUGAUCCGAAAGCGUAACUGCUCGCGAGGGGGAUCCGAGGGGAGGUUGAUCCAUAAACGAGGCUAAAUUCUCCACCUAGCCCAGUUCUUUUCUGGUCCACCAUGUGGAUGAGCGGAAAAGGGUAUUCGAGCGUAGAGUAACUUGAAGCCGUUCCGGAAGGAGCGGCAAGAGAUCUCUAGUGAUUCUGUCGGCACGAGUAGCGCAGACUGUCUUGAAGAAUGGACAGGGCCGAAUCCUCAAAGGUUCCUUCGCUAGGGUGUUCCGCGAAGGGUUCGGGGUCUCUCAAAGGCGUGCCGAAAGGCCAAUCUUGAGGGGGCUUCCAAGAUCUCUUGUCCAUGGACCAUUGCUUUGCGGCCUUCGGGAAAGCCGAAGAGGAAGGGUCCUGGGCCAGGAAAAGAGAGGAAGAAAAACCCCACUGAGAACCGACACAGGUGAGGAGGUUGAAGACAACUAAGGCUUGGGAAGACUCGAACAGAAGGAACUCGGCAAAUUGCCGCGGUAUCUUCGGUAGAACGCGGCCCCAUCAUAGGGGGACACCACAGAGGAGAGGGCGACUGUUUACCAAAAACAUAGGUCUCUGCCACCGCGAAAGCGUACGUAUAGAGACCGAGUCCUGCCCGGUGCCGGUUCUGUACAGGGACGGCUCUAUGUUGGGUCGGAACUCGAAGACUGGUUCACGGCGGCUGUAUACCUGACGGUCCUAAGGUAGCGAAAUUCCUAGACGCUUAAUUGGCGUCCCGCAUGAAAGGAUUCACGAUCCUCUCGCUGUCUCCUGUUCGAAGCCCGCGAAACUCCUUUCCCCGUGCAGAAGCGGGGAUGUUCCAGUUAGACGAGAAGACCCUAGUAGCUUGACUGGCCUGGGCCUUGGCUUUGAUUGCGCCCUGCUGUAGAAGAGGUGGGAGAGCUUGCUCGAUCAUGAAAAACCACCGUAGGGAGGAAUGAAAGCUUCCUGAAUCGUUCAGGAAAGAGGUCUGGAGACAGUUUGGUUGGGGCGACCGCCUCCCAAACAGUAACGGAGGCGUACGAUGGUUUGGCAAGAAAGGGGUUCCGUCCUUUCGGUUCCGGGAUCUCGGCAUCCAAGCUUGAUUGGCCAGAGAGACUCCUCUGCCAAGGGCGAAAGCCUGUAGAACUGACCCAGAGCGGCGGCGUGGCACGCGCUCUGAUCCACGGAUCAAAGUUACACUAGGGAUAACAGGCUAAUCAAGCUCUAGAGAAGCUAUCGACGGCUUGGUUUGGCACCUCGAUGUCGGCUCUUCGCUUCCUGGGGCUGAAUCCGGUCCCAAGGGUUGGACUGUUCGUCCAGUAAGGCGGAACGUGAGCUGGGUUCAAUACGACGUGAGUCAGUAUGGUUUCUAUCUGCUGGAACGGCAUCUUCUUCUCUUUCUCUUUCUUUUGCCUUUGGGGUUCCCAGGGGCAACC
rnacentral:rRNA from 1 species